rnacentral:rRNA from 1 species
GUAGGUGGCAAGCGUUGUCCGGAAUUAUUGGGCGUAAAGCGCGCGCAGGGCGGUCCUUUAAGUCUGAUGUGAAAGCCCACGGCUCAACCGUGGAGGGUCAUUGGAAACUGGGGGGACUUGAGUACAGAAGAGGAAAGCGGAAUUCCAAGUGUAGCGGUGAAAUGCGUAGAGAUUUGGAGGAACACCAGUGGCGAAGGCGGCUUUCUGGUCUGUAACUGACGCUGAGGCGCGAAAGCGUGGGGAGCAAACAGGAUUAGAUACCCUGGUAGUCCACGCCGUAAACGAUGAGUGCUAAGUGUUAGGGGGUUUCCGCCCCUUAGUGCUGCAGCUAACGCAUUAAGCACUCCGCCUGGGGAGUACGGCCGCAAGGCUG